GCUUGUCUCAAAGAUUAAGCCAUGCAUGUCUAAGUAUAAACUGCUUUAUACUGUGAAACUGCGAAUGGCUCAUUAAAUCAGUAAUAAUUUAUUUGAUGGUACCUACUACUCGGAUACCCGUAGUAAAUCUAGAGCUAAUACGUGCGUAAAUCCCGACUUCUGGAAGGGACGUAUUUAUUAGAUAAAAGGCCGACCGGGCUCUGCCCGACUCGCGGUGAAUCAUGAUAACUUCACGAAUCGCAUGGCCUCGUGCCGGCGAUGUUUCAUUCAAAUUUCUGCCCUAUCAGCUUUCGACGGUAGUGUAGUGGACUACCGUGGCGCUAACGGGUGACGGAGAAUUAGGGUUCGGUUCCGGAGAGGGAGCCUGAGAAACGGCUACCACAUCCAAGGAAGGCAGCAGG
rnacentral:rRNA from 1 species